GCAUGUCUCUGUGGCGCAAUCGGUUAG
rnacentral:piRNA from 1 species